rnacentral:rRNA from 1 species
CUACAUUACCUAGCGGCGGACGGGUGAGUAAUGCUUAGGAAUCUGCCUAUUAGUGGGGGACAACAUUCCGAAAGGAAUGCUAAUACCGCAUACGUCCUACGGGAGAAAGCAGGGGAUCUUCGGACCUUGCGCUAAUAGAUGAGCCUAAGUCGGAUUAGCUAGUUGGUGGGGUAAAGGCCUACCAAGGCGACGAUCUGUAGCGGGUCUGAGAGGAUGAUCCGCCACACUGGGACUGAGACACGGCCCAGACUCCUACGGGAGGCAGCAGUGGGGAAUAUUGGACAAUGGGGGGAACCCUGAUCCAGCCAUGCCGCGUGUGUGAAGAAGGCCUUUUGGUUGUAAAGCACUUUAAGCGAGGAGGAGGCUACUCUAGUUAAUACCUAGAGAUAGUGGACGUUACUCGCAGAAUAAGCACCGGCUAACUCUGUGCCAGCAGCCGCGGUAAUACAGAGGGUGCGAGCGUUAAUCGGAUUUACUGGGCGUAAAGCGUGCGUAGGCGGCUGAUUAAGUCGGAUGUGAAAUCCCUGAGCUUAACUUAGGAAUUGCAUUCGAUACUGGUCAGCUAGAGUAUGGGAGAGGAUGGUAGAAUUCCAGGUGUAG